rnacentral:rRNA from 1 species
UACAGAGGGGGCAAGCGUUGUUCGGAAUUACUGGGCGUAAAGGGCGCGUAGGCGGCCGCCUAAGUCAGACGUGAAAUCCCUCGGCUCAACCGGGGAACUGCGUCUGAUACUGGGUGGCUUGAAUCCGGGAGAGGGAUGCGGAAUUCCAGGUGUAGCGGUGAAAUGCGUAGAUAUUCGGAAGAACACCAGUGGCGAAGGCGACUCGCUGGACAAGUAUUGACGCUGAGGUGCGAAAGCGUGGGGAGCAAACAGGG